rnacentral:rRNA from 1 species
AUAUUGGACAAUGGGCGAAAGCCUGAUCCAGCCAUGCCGCGGGAGCGAUGAAGGCCCUAGGGCUGUAAACCUCCUUCACCGGUGACGCUAAAGACGGUAAUCGGAGAAGAAGCCCCGGCGAACUCCGUCCCAGCAGCCGCGGUAACACGAAGGGGGCUAGCGUUGUUCGGAAUUACUGGGCGUAAAGCGCACGUAGGCGGACUAUUAAGUCAGGGGUGAAAUCCCGGGGCUCAACCCCGGAACUGCCUUUGAUACUGGUAGUCUAGAGUCCGAGAGAGGUGAGUGGAAUUCCGAGUGUAGAGGUGAAAUUCGUAGAUAUUCGGAGGAACACCAGUGGCGAAGGCGGCUCACUGGCUCGGUACUGACGCUGAGGUGCGAAAGCGUGGGGAGCAAACA